UUAUGCUGGUUCACGUACGAUCACCGAAGUUAAGCAACGUCAGUCGUGGUUAGUACCUGGAUGGGUGACCGCUUGGGAAUAUAAGGUCCUGUAA